UAAAAGUCGUAACAAGGUCUCCGUAGGUGAACCUGCGGAGGGAUCAUU
rnacentral:rRNA from 1 species